GAUGAACGCUGGCGGCGUGCCUAAUACAUGCAAGUCGAACGGAGAUUGUAGCAAUACGGUCUUAGUGGCGAACGGGUGAGUAACGCGUUGGUAACCUGCCCCGAAGCGUGGGAUAACGGUCCGAAAGGACCACUAAUACCACAUGUGAUCCCGAGGAAUAGAUACUUGGGAUGAAAGGAGCAAUUCGCUUCGGGAGGGACCUGCGUCCCAUCAGCUAGUUGGUAGGGUAACGGCCUACCAAGGCGAUGACGGGUAGGGGACCUGAGAGGGUGGCCCCCCACAAUGGAACUGAAACACGGUCCAUACACCUACGGGUGGCAGCAGUAGGGAAUAUUGGUUAAUGUGCGAAAGCGCGAACCAGCAACGCCGCGUGUGCGAUGAAGGCCUUGGGUCGUAAAGCACUUUUGCAGGGAAGAGGAAGGACGGUACCUGCAGAAUAAGUCUCGGCUAACUACGUGCCAGCAGCCGGGUAAAACGUAGCGUG
rnacentral:rRNA from 1 species